UACGUAGGGGGCAAGCGUUGUCCGGAAUUAUUGGGCGUAAAGCGCGCGCAGGCGGCGAGGUAAGUUUGGUGUUUAAACUUGGGGCUCAACCCGAAGACGCAUCAAAAACUGCUUUGCUGGAGUGCAGAAGAGGAGAGUGGAAUUCCACGUGUAGCGGUGAAAUGCGUAGAGAUGUGGAGGAACACCAGUGGCGAAGGCGGCUCACUGGUCCGGUACUGACGCUGAGGUGCGAAAGCGUGGGGAGCAAACAGG
rnacentral:rRNA from 1 species